UUAUAAUUCGGCAGAGAAUAUUUUCGAAUAUCGAUAUGGUAGAGAACUGUAUGAAAUAAAGUAUGAUAUAAGUUUUGUACAAGUACAUAGUGUGAUAUAGUUACCGUAAGGUACCGUCAUAUGACACGAUACGAUGUAGUGAGUACACUAUUUUUGAGUAUUGUAUAGUAUGAUAGGAAACGAUACAGUAUAGUAAAGUGAUAUAAGUUUCGUAGAUCGUCGUAAGAUAUGAUUUAGGUAACAUAUCAUAAAGUAUCGUUAGUAUAAUAUAGUAGACUACAAUAUUUUAAUGUAUUGCAUGACACGAUAGGAAAUGGUAUAAUAAAUUGUAUGUUAAAAAUAUCAUAUAACUAUCGUAAAGUAACAUGUAUAAUACAGUAUAUUAUGAUAAGAUACGAAAAGAUAUCAUACAACGUAGAAUGAUAUGGCAGGAUAAGAUUUUCUAAAAAAAUGAAUUCUUCUCUGAUGAAAUUCGCGUAAUAACAACUAUAUAUUUUCUUGAGAAAACUUUCUAAAAAUUUGAGAUUCUAAACAAGAUUGGCGCGUUCAAGUUUGGAGGGAAGCUAAUCCUAUCUAAAAAGAAAGAGAAAAAAACACGAUUGUCUCAUCGAACACGAGAUAGAAGUUUAUCCAUCGAGUUGCGUCGUAACGAAGUCAAGGUGGAAAGAGAAAUUGGACAUCGGUUUUCCGCGACUUUUCCUCUGGAAAAUCGAAGUUUGCUGACUUGGCCGAGACUUUGGAGGCAUUGAUUCGGAACAAUGAGGUGUUCAUGCAUCGGCUCAACGUCUCUCCCUCGAACCCGGAAGCGUCGGAUUAAGUCUCGUCUAUGGUGUAACGCGAUUGUCUACGAGCGACGCCGGGACAAAGAAUUCAUCGUGGCGGAAUUAUUCGCCUAACUGAUUAUCACGCUCGUGUUUUCCAACUGGCUGCCAUCUUGCCUCCUUCCUUUCUUCUCGACGAGCUCGACAGUGUGAAAAUGUCUCCUCGAAAGAGAACGAGACGUCGAUAUCGGUGAUGGAGAGUAUUUUUACAUGUUGGCGGAGCCACCAUUCGGACAGCGAGUCAUGGAUAAAGAGAGAGAGAGAAAGAGAGGAAAAGAAAGAAAGAAAAAGCAGUUAGAAAAUAUGAAGGCAGCAGAUGGACGAAGGAGGAACGGAAGGAAGAGUAUGAAAAUGGCCGAUAAAGGCAGUGGACUAAACAUGUAUUUCACAGUUUAAUGCGGGCUGUGUCGAGUCCAGUCGAACGGAUUGGAGCUUGCUGAUUCAAGGAACGGUUGGCCGCAUGAAAGAGCACCAGGUCGAGGCAGCAGAGGUUAAAACGCGGCCGUUGUUGAUGUUUAUCACGGCUGACCGUCUCCUGGCUCGCUUUUAUCAACCGGCCACUGAUUUCCACCACUGGUUAAUUGGAAUUAUUCCGCCAUCUUUUGCCAACUUUCAACCGUCGACUCUCGAUAUAUACAUAUGUGUCUAAAAAGUCUUCCAUUGCCAUGCUGUAUUUUAGAAAUACUGAUAUGCCAACUUCUUUCAUCCUUUCGAAGAAACGAAAACUUUCCUCUUCGUCCACCAGAUGAGAACGAAGAAUCUCCAACAAUCCCAAUGAACAAAGAAAAAUCCUUGGAAGAGGAGAGUUGGAAAACAGAGGCAAACAACGGGUGGCCCCGGUGAAAGGAGCCGUUUCCACCAAGGCAACAAGAGGAAGAAGAGUCGAAGAAGAAAGCAAGAGAGAAGGGCGACGAAUGCGCGAGAACACGGAGAGACGAGAGAGCAAAAGCCCCGGUCGCGCUCUCUGGGGGUGGAUCAAUACCACACCACCACGAAUUCGCGAGGGUGCAACGAUUCACCAACCCCCCGCAGUUGUGUGUCUUUCAGCUAGCUGCACUUUGACAACGACAUCUAUCUUAAACCAAACCCCCUACUCUUUUCCUUCUAUCCUCGUUUCUGGCAACCGCCAGCAUCGUUCCACGGGGUUGGUGCGUGCACCAACCCCUUUUUCGGAGGGGUAGGAAACUUUGAGGAUGCGACGAAUUAAAUUAUACGCGAUCCAAAUUCGAUAUCUCUCUCUCUUUCCCUCUUCGUCAAUUGGACUGCUCAGUUAUACGUCGAUUCGAUCAUUUUUCCUGCCCGCCAAUUUUGGCUACAGGUGAGAUACGUGCGAGUUCGGUUUCUUGGAUGUUUCUGUGAAUUAACUUUCGAUUCUUUUGCUUUUUGGGAAGGUUGGAAAAGAGAAAGAUUUGAAAAGAAGAAACGUUUGAGAAAAUUUUUUUUUUGAAAAUUUUCGUUUGAGGAUUGAAUGUUGAAUUUUUUUAUGGAUUAGUUUUGGUUCUUUCAAGUUUAUAGGAGGUUAAAAGAGAUCUGAAAAGGAAAAGUGAAAUUCUAGAAAUUUUUAUCUUGAUAGAUUAGCUUUUAAGUUUUAAGAAGUGGAGAAGUGGAAAUUUUUUUCUUUCAAAAGUCUUCAUUUGAAAUAUUAAAUUUUUUCUAUAAUUAUCUUUCAAUUCUAUAACCCGUGAUUUUUAGAUUUUUGGGGAGAAAUUUUUUAUUCGAAAAAUUUUUCUUUAAGUAUUGAAAUGUUAAAUAUUUUUUUUACAGAUUAGUUUUUGUUUCAUGAUUUUUAAAAUUCUUUCGAGUUUGUAGAGAAUUAAGAGAGAUCUGAAAAAAAGAAGUGUUUUAAAAAUUUUUUUUUCUUUAGGUAAUUUUGAAUCCGUAUGGUUUUUAAGUUCUUUCGAGUUUCAAGAAAGAAGAAGUUUCGGAAAUUUUUUUCUUCUUUAAAAACUUUUCCUUCAAUGUCUUAAAUGAUAGUAAAGAUAGAUGCCGUGUAUAAAUAUAUAUGUUGCAACCUGUAGAACGCGAAGUCACAGUUGUUAUUUUUAACGAUUCUUGGAUUCAUGAUGGAUCGAUAACAAUGAUUAAAGUAAUAGUGGCUUGAAAAAAGUUGGUAGAAAAUGGAAACUUGGUAGAAGUGGAUUCAUCGGGAAUUGGAACGUGGGUCUUUUGAUUGACAGUCGGGAAAUCUUAUUUGAACAACGAUAUUGCUUCAUUGUAUCGACAUUUCUUUUACACGAAUCUCAUUCUACCAUAAAUCCACGAAUUUCACGGUAGAACGAACAAAUCUGAAAAUUUGUUUCACAUUAUUCUCUCGUAUUUUGUUAUAAUCUAUUAAACUUAUAAAAAGCAUACAAAAUAAACAAAAUAAAAUAUCUUAAUCACUUUGAAUGUUUCGUUUAAUUUUGCUAAUACUGGAUAUUAAUAUAUUCGUGAAACAUCCUUGAUGAAAUAAUUCUGUAAUUUAAUAUAAAUACAAAAUUUAUGUAUUGUACAAAAACGUCGGUCGAGGCUUAUUUAAGUUGAGAUCGAUUGAAAUUUGCAUGAAAAAAAAUG